rfam:TPA: Bos taurus chromosome 9, whole genome shotgun sequence.
UCCCUGGUAGCUCAGAGGUUAUAGCGUCUGCCUGCAAUGCGGGAGACCAGGGUUCGAUCCCUGGGUUGGGAA